rnacentral:tRNA from 1 species
GGAGGUAUAGCUUACUGGUAUAGCAUAUAUUUGGCACAUGAAAGGCCUCGGGUUCAAUCCCUGGUACCACCA